AGCUACAAUAGCGUAUAUUAAAGUUGUUGCGGUUUUAAAGCUCGUAGUUGGAUUUCUGCUGAGGACGACCGGUCUGCCCGCCGGGUAUGUAUUUGCCUCGGCCUUGGCAUCUUCGUGGAGAACGUAUCUGCAUUUCACUGUGUGGUGCGGGAUCCAUGAUUCAAAUGUUGAGAAAAAUUAGAGUGUUUCAAGCAGGCAAUCGCCUUGAACACAUUAGCAUUGAAUAAUACAAUAGGACAUCGGUUUUAUUGUGUUGGUUUCUCGAGCUGAGGUAAUGGUUGAUAGGGACAGUUGGGGGCAUUCGUAUUUACUUGUCAGAGGUGAAAUUGUUGGAUUUGUUGAACACGGACUAUUGCGAAAGCAUUUGCCAAAGAUGUUUUCA
rnacentral:rRNA from 1 species